rnacentral:lncRNA from 1 species
UGUGAGCCUGGGUGUGUACAAAGGAAGAGGUGAUUUUUUUUUUCAAUAAAAAUAGUUCGGUGUGGACAGAACUGAUUUAAGAACUUGUAUGGCUGGAGGGAAGGCCUGGUAUGGAAGUCUCCAUGAGAUAUUUGCCCUUGUUUGCUAACAUUAUUAUUUUUAUUUUGUCUAGGAUCUUUUAGCCCCAAACACACCCACCACUUGGAGGGAAGCAAAAAUUCCAAAGUACACAGUUUGGGAAACACUGACCAGUAAGAAAGUCUCCAGUUUUGUGCCAGGAGACUGUGAAGAGUCCCUCAUCCUAGCUACCUGGAAGCCAGUAUUCUGCUAGCAUCCUUCAGAUGAAGAUGUAGAACACUCAGCUCCUCCUGCAUCAUGCCUGCCUGGAUGCUGCCAUGUUCCCGCCUUGAUGAUACUAGAUUGAACCUCUGAACCUGUAAGUCAGCCCCAAUUAAAUGAGUGUUGCGUUGGUCAUGGUGUCUGUUCACAGCAGUAAGACCCUAACUAAGACAGUAUUCUUUAUACUGUCAGGCCCAUUCAGUUCAUGGCUUUCCACACAGUUCCAAAAUGGACCCUCCAAUUAUGGACCAGCUCUGGUUUCUGGCAUGUUCUCAGGUUUAGCUGCUUGGAACAGUUCUAUCAUUCAAUGUCUUCCCCUUUCCACCCUUCAGAAAUCAGCUAUUAUUUAUAAGAAACCUUCCUCUUCAGUAUCUCAUGACUGCAGUCCUCUCUCUAGUCCCCACCUCCACCUCUCUCCUGGGGCUUCUUCACAACCCAGGCCUGUCUUGAGGUCAAACUUAGCUGCCCUCUCACUCUCAAGACUCCAGUCUGGUUGCCAUAGUGAUCUGUCCCUUAUGCAAACCUGGGCACAUCACUUGCAGAUCUAAUACCCC